rnacentral:rRNA from 1 species
GACGAACGCUGGCGGCGUGCCUAAUACAUGCAAGUAGAACGCAGUUGCGAACGGGUGAGUAACGCGUAGGUAACCGCCUUAUAGCGGGGGAUAACUAUUGGAAACGAUAGCUAAAACCGCAUUCUGUGGGAUGGACCUGCGUUGUAGUAGGUUGUUGGUGGGGUAAAGGCUCACCAAGGCGACGAUACAUAGCAGACCUGAGAGGGUGAUCGGCCACACUGGGACGGAGACACGGCCCAGACUCCUAAGGGAGGGAGCAGUAGGGGAUCUUCGGCAAUGGACGGAAGGCUGAACGAGCAACGCCGCGUGAGUGAAGAAGGUUUUCGGAUCGUAAAGCUCUGUUGUUAGAGAAGCGGUACCUAACCAGAAAGGGACGGCUAACUACGUGCCAGCCGCCGCGGUAAUUC